GAUCAACUGGCCUAGUGGUAAGGCGUCCGUCUUACAAAGUCGCGCAAAAAGCGCACACGGAAGAUCGUAGGUUCGAAUCCUGCGUUGAUCA